AGAGUUUGAUCAUGGCUCAGAGCGAACGCUGGCGGCGUGCUUAACACAUGCAAGUCGAGUGCGCGUCUGUAGCAAUACAGAUGGCGCACGGCGCACGGGUGCGUAACACGUGGGUAAUCUGCCCUUCGAAGGGGAAUAACUCGCCGAAAGGCGAGCUAAUUCCGCAUAACAUUCCGAGAACCUCGGUUUUUGGACUCAAAGGCGUAAGUCGUCGGAGGAGGAGCCCGCGCACGAUUAGCUAGUUGGUAGGGUAACGGCCUACCAAGGCUAUGAUCGUUAGCUGGUCUGAGAGGAUGGCCAGCCACACUGGAACUGAGACACGGUCCAGACUCCUACGGGAGGCAGCAGUGGGGAAUCUUGCACAAUGGGCGAAAGCCUGAUGCAGCGACGCCGCGUGGGGGAUGAAGCUUCUCGGAGUGUAAACCCCUUUCGACCCGGACGAAUGCCCCGCAAGGGGACUGACGGUACGGGUAUAAGAAGCCCCGGCUAACUACGUGCCAGCAGCCGCGGUAAGACGUAGGGGGCCAGCGUUGCUCGGAAUUACUGGGUGUAAAGGGUUCGUAGGCGGUGUGGCAAGUCGGGAGUGAAAUCUCUGGGCUCAACCCAGAGUCUGCUUCCGAAACUGCUGUGCUUGAGUGUGGGAGAGGCGCGUGGAAUUGCAGGUGUAGCGGUGAAAUGCGUAGAUAUCUGCAGGAACACCCGUGGCGAAAGCGGCGCGCUGGACCACUACUGACGCUGAGGAACGAAAGCUAGGGGAGCAAACAGGAUUAGAUACCCUAGUAGUCC
rnacentral:rRNA from 1 species